rnacentral:lncRNA from 1 species
GUUGAGUUGAAAUACUAUUAAUAAUAUUUUGACUAUUUUACUAUCGAUGUUUUAACCGUUAAAUCUACACUCAAUCUUAAGAGGACCACAACAAAAUUCUAAGCCACCGUUUGGUUCGAAGUUAAGUAAAAACUUGUUAGUCCAGAGAUAGAGUUAAGAUCAGGGUUAAUGUGGGGUUAAAGUAAUUUUGCGUUUAGUUGAGAAUUGGGUUUAGUCCAGAUAUAAAUAAAAUAGUAUUUGGCUGGAGUAGAUGGGAUAAAAAUGAUAGUUGGUAAAAUAGUGUUUUGUUUGGUUGGAGUAGUGGGGUGGGGUAGGGUUAGCUA